UCCCGGGUGGUCUAGUGGUUAGGUUUCAGUGCUUUCAACCCUGUGGCCCAGGAUUGAUCCCUGGUCUGGGAA
rnacentral:tRNA from 1 species